AUAGUUGAAGGAUGGGACUUUUAAAUCAUAUACAUUGUUUUACAAAUGAUGCCCACUGUCCUGGCCCUUCAUGCCUUCUUAGUUUCUCCUUUCAAGCCUCUAUUUGCAUUGUGGCCCAUGGGACUGGGUUCUGUGUGCAAAGAAUCAGUAAAUGUGGUUGGAUAUAUCAAGGGCCUUCUGUAGAUGGGCCUGUUGCUUCGAGAAAACUACUUCCCAGUUUGGUCUGAAGGGGGGUGGGACCAAGUAUGUAGUUCGACCAAAAUGAUGUGUAAUUGGAUACACAUGUAACGUUCGGCAGGCCUGUCAGCUCUCUCCACCACUAGAAUAACACAUACCCCAUAUUUACUUUGAAAACCACUUUGCUUUCAUUUUACUACGGUAUCAGCAUGGUAGCCUCAGUGGGUUUAUUUUUUUUCUAACCCUGACAAAGCACAAUGUUUUAUUUGGCUUUUUAAAAAGGCAAUAGUGCAUGUAGUUAAGACCUCAUUUACUUUAUCUGAUGAAAUAGUCUCUGAGGAAUGCAUGUUUUUCCUAUAGGUCCACUGAGAAAGUUGGUUUUACAAUAAGGUCAUUUGUAAGAAUUCCUGGUUUCAGUUUUAAAACAACAUAUGUGAUUUAGUUUUUUGUAAUGUAUAUUUUUAUGACUUUAAAAGGCUAACCUAAAGUAGGUAUUAGUCAUAAGAUAAUAUGAGUUUAUGUGGAAUUUUUGUUUGUUUGUUUUUACCUUGUAAAAUGCCUUUUAUGUGUAGUUCUGCCUGUAGUGGUAUUUUCGUCUAUUCUUUUUCUCUUUUAUUUUCCUCUACAUGUUUAUAAAUUUGUGAAAGUAUAUAUACAAUAAUACAAGAAUGGACCUUGUAGCCGGAAGAUAACUAAUCACACUAAUAGCAUGUUAUUUAUUUGUUUGCAUAUCCACUAAAUUAUCCUUUGUUCAUUCUGUUAAUGUGCAGAGUACUUGGACACUGUACAUGGUGAACAAACAAGACCUAAUCCUAAACCACUGCGCUGGAGGGUCUUGCAAUGUAAUUUCUUAGCUCACUGAGGAAAGAGGCAAAAGAACUGAAAGACAGGUUGCUGUGGAGACUGAUGCCAACUCCUGGGAAGGGAGAUGCCUGUCUGUAACAACUGCCCAUGAGGAAAGAGGGCCCUGGGGCUCCCGUGCUGCACGAUCAAGCUUAUUAACACUUCUGGGGUGUCCAGCAGUGGCUUUGAUAGCACAGUGGGUGUCUUUGUGUAGAAUGGACUUCCAUUAUGUAUUUUGUUCUUCAGUUAUUUUUCAAAUGAUUAAUUUUCAUGUUUACUCUUGCUAUUUUGCUCAAGUAUUCUAUUAGGAAUGUAACUAAUGUAUUUAGGACUCUGUUAACAUUAAAUUCAAGGAAGAUUGAGAAAAGCCAGUAACAGAUGCA